rnacentral:piRNA from 1 species
UUAUUCUGUUUUAGGUGACUUGGUCC